rnacentral:rRNA from 1 species
UGGGGUGCUCGAGUGGCGAACGGGUGAGUAACACGUGAGUAACCUGCCCUUGACUUUGGGAUAACUUCAGGAAACUGGGGCUAAUACCGGAUAGGAGCUCCUGCUGCAUGGUGGGGGUUGGAAAGUUUCGGCGGUUGGGGAUGGACUCGCGGCUUAUCAGCUUGUUGGUGGGGUAGUGGCUUACCAAGGCUUUGACGGGUAGCCGGCCUGAGAGGUUGGUCGGCCACAUUGGGACUGAGAUACGGCCCAG